rnacentral:rRNA from 1 species
CCUACGGGUGGCAGCAGUGGGGAAUAUUGGGCAAUGGGCGCAAGCCUGACCCAGCAACGCCGCGUGAAGGAAGAAGGCCCUCGGGUUGUAAACUUCUUUUGUCAGGGACGAAACAAAUGACGGUACCUGUCGAAUAAGCCACGGCUAACUACGUGCCAGCAGCCGCGGUAAUACGUGGGUGGCAAGCGUUAUCCGGAUUUACUGGGUGUAAAGGGCGUGUAGGCGGGAGAGCAAGUCAGAUGGGAAAUUCCAGGGCUCAACCCCGGAACUGCAUUUGAAACUGUUUUUCUUGAGUGAUGGAGAGGCAGGCGGAAUUCCGUGUGUAGCGGUGAAAUGCGUAGAUAUAAGGAGGAACACCAGUGGCGAAGGCGGCCUGCUGGACAUUAACUGACGCUGAGGCGCGAAAGCGUGGGGAGCAAACAGGAUUAGAUACCCGAGUAGUC